UACGGGGGGGGCAAGCGUUGUUCGGAAUUACUGGGCGUAAAGAGCUCGUAGGCGGUCCGUCACGUCGGCUGUGAAAACCCGGGGCUCAACCCCGGGCCUGCAGUCGAUACGGGCGGACUAGAGUUCGGCAGGGGAGACUGGAAUUCCUGGUGUAGCGGUGAAAUGCGCAGAUAUCAGGAGGAACACCGGUGGCGAAGGCGGGUCUCUGGAACGCAACUGACGCUGAGACGCGAAAGCGUGGGGAGCAAACAGG
rnacentral:rRNA from 1 species